rnacentral:rRNA from 1 species
UUAUUAAAUGGCCGCGGUAUUUUGACCGUGCAAAGGUAGCAUAAUCAUUAGUCUAUUAAUUGUGGGCUUGUAUGAAUGGUUUCACGAGAUAUUGACUGUCUCAUCUUAAUUUAUUGAAUUAAAUUUUUAAGUGAUAAAGCUUAAAUAUUAUUAUAGGACGAGAAGACCCUAUAGAUCUUUAUUGGUACAUGAUUUAAUUGUUUUAGGUUAUGUAUAUUUAAUUUAUUUACUUAUUUGGUUGGGGUGAUAUGGGGAUAUGACUAACUCUUUAUUAUAUUUAACAUUGAUUUAUGAUUAAUUGACCUUGUAAUAUUGUUUAAAAGAUUAAGAUACCUUAGGGAUAACAGCGUAAUUUUCUUUGAGAGUUCUUAUCGACAAGAAGGAUUGCGACCUCGAUGUUGAAUUAAGAGGGAUUUUGGGUGUAGUAUUUCAAAUUAUCGGGUCUGUUCGACCUUUAAUAUCUUACAUGAUCUGAGUU